AGAGUUUGAUUCUGGCUCAGGAUGAACGCUGGCGGCGUGCUUAACACAUGCAAGUCGAACGGAGUUUUUAAACGGAAGUUUUCGGAUGGAAGUUUAGAAACUUAGUGGCGGACGGGUGAGUAACGCGUGGGUAACCUGCCUCAUACAGGGGGAUAACAGUUAGAAAUGACUGCUAACACCGCAUAAUAUAGCGAAACCGCAUGAUUUUGCUAUCAAAUAUUUAUAGGUAUGAGAUGGGCCCGCGUCUGAUUAGCUAGUUGGUGGGGUAAAAGCCUACCAAGGCGACGAUCAGUAGCCGGCUUGAGAGAGUGACCGGCCACAUUGGGACUGAGACACGGCCCAAACUCCUACGGGAGGCAGCAGUGGGGAAUAUUGGACAAUGGGGGAAACCCUGAUCCAGCGAACCGCCGCGUGAGUGAAGAAGUAUUUCGGUAUGUAAAGCUCUAUCAGCAGGGAAGAUAAUGACAGUACCUGACUAAGAAGCCCCGGCUAACUACGUGCCAGCCGCAGC
rnacentral:rRNA from 1 species